rnacentral:rRNA from 1 species
AUAUCAAUAAGCGGAGGAAAAGAAACCAACAGGGAUUGCCUUAGUAGCGGCGAGUGAAGCGGCAAUAGCUCAAAUUUGAAAUCUGGCGUCUUCGGCGUCCGAGUUGUAAUUUGAAGAAGGUAUCUUUGGUUUUGGCUCUUGUCUAUGUUCCUUGGAACAGGACGUCACAGAGGGUGAGAAUCCCGUGCGAUGAGAUGCCCAAUUCCAUGUAAAGUUCCUUCGACGAGUCGAGUUGUUUGGGAAUGCAGCUCUAAGUGGGUGGUAAAUUCCAUCUAAAGCUAAAUAUUGGCGAGAGACCGAUAGCGAACAAGUACUGUGAAGGAAAGAUGAAAAGAACUUUGAAAAGAGAGUGAAAAAGUACGUGAAAUUGUUGAAAGGGAAGGGCUUGAGAUCAGACUUGGAAUUUUCCAGCAAUGGAGCUUUCCGGGCCAGCAUCAGUUUGGAUGGCAGGAUAAUUGCGUAGGAAAGUGGCUCCACUACGGUGGAGUGUUAUAGCCUGCGUCGAUACUGCCUGUCUAGACUGAGGACUGCGUCUUUGACUAGGAUGCUGGCAUAAUGAUCUUAAGCCGC